UAUUAUUUUUGAUGUUAAUUAUUUAACCUGAGUAGUAAUAGAUAUGGUCUUGAAACUUAAAGAAUUUGGCAGUAUUUUAUUCUGUUUAGAGGAACCUGUUCUUUUAUCGAUAAUCCUCGUUGGACCUUACUUAAUUUAUUGAUUUGUAUACCGCCGUUGUAUUGAAGAUCUUUAUAGUGUUUUUAAUUUUCUAGAUUUUAUUUAAAAUUAUUUCAGGUCAAGGUGCAAUUUAUGGUUGAGUAGAAAUGGGUUACAUUUAUAUUUAUUUUUGGAUUAUUAAAUGGAAUUUUAGUGUGAAAUUGGAUUUGAUUGUAAUUAUUAUUUUAGAUUGUAAUAAUGAUUUAGUUUCUAGAAUGUGUACACAUCGCCCGUCACUCUCGUUAUUUAUUCGAG
rnacentral:rRNA from 1 species